GCAAGCCUAAGGUCCCCCACCUGUAGGAGGAGAAACAAUACAUUCACAAACAAUGGUUUGACUAUGAUGUACCUGUCAAGGAAAACGUACUUGCCCUUGGGAGAUGUAGACUGAAGAAUUUAGGAGCAGAAUGUUACGUUUUAGGUGAUGAAGUACCUGCUGCCAGAGUUUCCCCUGAAACACACAAAGAAGAGUCUUUUACUUGUGAUUCAGUUGUUUCAGGAGUUCUUGACUGGCCAAUGUGCAAGGAUUCAUGUAAGCUGCUUUUCACUUCUUCUUCUGGUCGUUGUGAUUUUGCUGGAGGUUUUGAUACCACUGGACUCUUCUGAAUGGUCUGGACAUCAGUUGGCGAGAGAAAGGCACUGAAGAAAUUUUCAGAUUCAUCGACCACAGUCCUCCGAACUGGCUUUGUGAUUGCUUUAGGAGAGGCUAUUGGUGGACUCUGAGGUUCAGUGUUUGAUUUCAACCCCCAGGUUGAAGUAUCCCAUCCUCCACUGACAGGGGAACUUAUUCCU
rnacentral:lncRNA from 10 species